rnacentral:rRNA from 1 species
GCCUCCAUGAAGUUGGAUUCGCUAGUAAUCGCGCAUCAGCCAUGGCGCGGUGAAUACGUUCCCGGGCCUUGUACACACCGCCCGUCAAGCCAUGGGAGCUGGGGUGCCUGAAGUUCGUGACCGCAAGGAUCGACCUAGGGCAAAACCGGUGACUGGGGCUAAGUCGUAACAAGGUAAC